CUUCUGCAUUUUGAGCCUUGUGGCCACCCUGUGACACAGAGAUUAUUACUGCCCAUUUUACACAUAGGAAGACUGAGGGAGUCAGAGAGGUAGCAUGCUUUGCCCAGGGUGGCCCAGAGCUCCCUGACUGUAGGGGAGCCUGAGUGGAUUCUGUGGCCUUAGGGACACAGUCUCACCUCAGGGCUUAUCAGGUCAAGGACUGGUCACUGUGUAAAAGGAUCUGGUUUUUACUCUGUGCCAUGGUACUGUGUGGCCAUAGGAUAUCUGAUCACACCACUUAUUUGAGCAUCUAUUCCAGCAUUGGGAAAGCAAAAGGUUCGGGCUAAUGUCUUCCAAGCACCUGCUUUGCUCAGUCUUCCAUGACCAUCAUGAUCAUCUCAAUGCUUCUUGAACUGCUUUCACCUGCAUUCAGAUGCUUCUUUGACAUGAAUGGAAAAGUUCUACUCAUUGAUGCGUUCGUUCAGUCACCAAGAGUUUAUUGAGUGCUCAUUACUAUGCACUACCAUUGACUGGGUGUAGACGGCACAGAACAAUCAAGUGGAGUUCCUGCUGUCAAUGAGCUGGAAUGAGCGCUGGCUAAAGGACCUUCUGUGAAAGCAGUGUGCCCAGAGACCUCAUGAAAAUAGUCAGCUUCAAGACUAUUUCGUUUGACAGAUCAGAAGACUGAGGUCCAGACAGACUCAUUUGCAAAGAACAGAUCAUGCCUAGAAUCUGGAGAAGCAGUCUUUCCACUCCCAGGGGGGAUGACCUUGGGGCCUCUCCAGCCCAAUAACCUUGCGGUGGUAGCUGGUUAGUCUUAGUGGACCUUGCUGUGGUAGCUGGUUAACCUGGGUUACAAUGUGCUUGCCCUGCCUCCCCACACUCCACCCCAUACCAGGGUCUACAGCACUGGCUCUAUUACCUAUCCUGAUUCUUUGCUAGCUUUGAAUCCUGGGCUCAGAUCUUCUAUGGCCUGUCACAGACUCCAUGUCUGAGCCUUCCUCCCUCCAUUUAGCAUAGUUCAUAUAUCACACACUUUCCCUUCUUUCCCGUGAGUCCAGCAGGAGUGCACCUAGCACUUACAAGGUAUUUCACACCAUUGCAGGUGCAGAGGGCACCAAGAGUGAUACUUCACACUUCCCAUUUCAUUUUCAUGGGAUGCCCACAUAGUGACAAGUUACAUGUUGGAAGCACAUGCAGAGUCUGAGGGGCG
ensembl:lncRNA